CUACAUCCGGUCUGUAAGGUUAUUAGCGGGAAGUAACGGAGAAUUCAACGAUAAAGCCCAAGAGGAAAAAUGGUUGAUGUGAGUGUGAACGCUGUGGGACGCACUUAGCACGUACAAAAUGGGGAGAAACAGGAAGCAGCUCUGGACCAAUCAGAGCGCAGCGCUUUGCCACUGCGAAGCCGACGCCUCAACGUGUUGCUGUGCCGUCGCCGUGGCAACGGGCUCAGCAGAUAAUCCCGUCAGACUCCUCGGUGUUUGCACACGGACGGCCUCCACCAGCUGGCGCCGCAAUCCGGUGGGGACGGCAGGACAGGAGGACGACCUUUGACCCCUCCACCCAGGUGAGGCCUGCUGCUCUUCAGGUCAGAUCUGAGUCUCCAUUUCCUGUUUCCACAAAGACGGGAGAACAAACCGGCAUCUGCCCCGGGUCGGGUUUCACCCCACAAAUACCCCCGGCAUAUUUACAGGCAGGCCGGGGCAUUAAGGGGUAAAUAUAGCUGCCCCGCCCGGCGAGGGGCAGGACAGCUGCAGGACGGCGUCCAUGUGAGAGCAGCUCCUCUGCUCACAGCCACUCCGUUUACCAAUCAAUAACUAAUAACGUUUACAACCAUCAGCUGAAACAGGAAAAUCUGCUGGAAGGACGAACGUACAACAGAAAACCCUGAAAUCUGGAGAAGAAUCUAAAAGAGUUCAAAGGUCAGCAGCCUGAAUGUGGCUGCGCAGCAGUCAGCAGGGAACACCGCAGCUUUAAGAACCGAGUUCAGUCUGGGAACGGUUCAGGUUGAAGUGUUUCCUUCCCGCCGUCAUCAAAACACAAACAGCUUUAGUCCAAGAACCAGAAGCUAUCGCUAAUGCUAACGCUAACCAGCAUUUAUUUGAUUUACAAUCCUGUAAACUUUGUUUUUUUAAAAGUGAAUGAAAAGUGAAGCCUGUUGCCUUUUAGCUCCCAUAAAUGUUUCCUCUGGAGUUUCAUUUAUUAAUAAAGUUUUGCUCAUUGAUCUUAUUUUAACACCAAAUUAUUAAUAAAUAAUAACUGCUAAACGUGAACCUGUUCAUAUUUAAUGUCUCUAAUUUGAAUGAACUGAAUUAAAGAGAAAAUGUUGAUAAAAAAAAAACGCUAAAAUUUUGGAAAUGUUUUAAUCCAGAAGGUCUGAAAUAAUCUGGAAUAAUUUUAGAUUAUCACAAUCCAGAGAUCUGUUAGCAUUAGCUUCACGUUUCAGAAAUCAGCCAAGAGUUUUCGGAGAGAAACGUUUUCCUUCCACUAAACUUUAUGCUUUGGUAGCAUUGACGAUAAGCUAGCAGCCAGAGAAGCAUUUUCAUUAGUAAUGAAACAAAAUAUUAUUAUUACAGUUUAUCAAUAUUAAUAUUGAUGUGAAUGUUUUAUUUAUAAAAUAAUGUCCAGAUUCCUCUUUAUGCUGCUGAAGUUUCAGAGCUAAAAUCGUUUUUAAGAAAAAACUCAAAGUUCAUUUUUUCUUAAAAUACGUGGAGAUUUAAGACAAAUGGAAACGAAACGUUUCUUAUUUAUUUAAACGAUAAAAAGUUUCAACAUUUAAAAAACGUAAAUUUAACGACAGAGAAUGAAGAGUUACUAAAAUUCAGAUGAUUAUUCCUGCUGGGCGAGGAAGAGGAGGAGGAGGAAGAGCUGAUCGGUACCGGCGAUCAACCUGCUGAUGAUCAGACGGGUUAACGGAUCAGAACCAUCAGAACCACAGAGGAAACAUUUAGAAUAUUAAAUAACCGGCUAAUAAUCCAUUAUUAACUGGAGCAGAAACUGAUCAAUAAAUCUGCUCAGCAGAACUCUGCUAGCUUUAGCUUCUGCUAAUAUCUGCUAUUGAUCCCAUCCAGUUAUCGAUUAGCUAAUCAGUAAUCAAUAACCAUCCACAGAUUCAUCAGAAAUCUGUUUAUUUUCUUAUUUGAAUGAAUUUCUAAUAUUAUAAAAAUGUUUAAAAUCUGCAGAAGUUAAUCAGAAUAAUCGAUCAAUUGGUAGAUUAUUGGUUAUCUGCGGCUACAGCUCUUCUUCCUUGGUUUCUCUGAUCGGACGCCGCGGCGUUCAGCUCUGUUGACCUCUGACCUGGUUGGAUCUCCAUCGCAACCUGAACAGGAGAAACUCAGUAUUCACUGACUUUGACUAGGUCGUUUUCCCAGAGGAGGCUCCACUGACCUCAGUCUGGCGGCCAUCUUGUUUUUGUUCUCUUCCUGGUCUGUUGUUUUCCUGCCAUGACCUUUGACCUGCAGAGUCUCAGGAUGGAGGACAGACUGGUGGGUUCCUUCACAAGGCUGAAGGUCAAAGGUCAUGGAGAAUCCAAGCUAACAGCUCCGUGUUUUGAACAGAAAAAAUUCAAACUUAAUAUUUCUGAUCGUUUGAAUUCUCUGCAGUUCUUAAUUUACGUGUUUUCGUAACUAUCCGAACGUUUUCCACGUGAACCAUCGUAUCAUAUCGCAUCGAAUCGUUUCGCAUCACAUCUCGAUAAACCAAAACGUUUUCAUCUGGAAACUCUGGAAAGAAUCAGAAAACAUCCCAGGUUCAUCUCACCAUCUGAGCUUUGACUAGGCCAUUCCAUGCCAUGAAUCUGCUGCGGCAUUUCCUCAUCCAUCCUCCCCAACACCGUGUUUCACACAUUAGUGUUGGUCAUAUGAAUGGAUGGAAUAAUUUGAUGUAUUUUAUUAAAAAGCUUUUAAUCUGAAACAUUUCAGUUUUUACUGAUAAAACUUGAUUUAAAAUAUUGAACAUUUCAUCAGAAAUGAACUUUUAAUCUUAGAUGAACCCAGAAUGUUCCCAUCAUAGACCCUGGUUCUGGUUCUGGUUCCUCCUCAGACCCAGCUGCAGUCUGACCGAACCGGACCGGACCGGGGAUCCAGUGUCUCCCUGACCCCGGGUCGCC